UGGUUUAGUCCUAUCAAAGCCUUGUCAGAGCUUGAUGUCACAUCUCAGAAGCUAAGCAGGGACGGACUUGGUUAAUACUUAAAUGGGAGACUGCUGGAAUACCUGGUGCCACAGUGU
rnacentral:rRNA from 1 species